rnacentral:tRNA from 2 species
GAGGGGGUAGCUCAGUUGGAUUAGAGCAGCAGCCUUCUAAGCUGCGGGUCGCGGGUUCGAGUCCCGCCCUCCUCACCA